rnacentral:ncRNA from 1 species
UUAAAAACAAUGACAAGGAAGAGUAAAUAGUAUUCUGUUCACAGAGAGGGAAGUUCACUGGCUGAAAAACUUCCUGUUCAAGGACUAUUGAAAACCACCUUGGAGUUGAGUACUGAAGCUUAGUAGGUAUAAUCCGCAACCAAGCGUUAAUAGGUUAGAGAUGAUAGUAAAUUCGCUGCUAAAACAGCAACGUUUAUGCUAUUAAUUUGAGUGGAACCGCGAUCAUAACUCGCCUCAAUA